CGAGUGGCGGACGGGUGAGUAACACGUAGGAAUCUGCCCAACAGUGGGGGACAACCCGAGGAAACUCGGGCUAAUACCGCAUACGCCCUACGGGGGAAAGCGGGGGACUUUCGGGCCUCGCGCUGAUGGAUGAGCCUGCGUCGGAUUAGCUUGUUGGUGAGGUAACGGCUCACCAAGGCGACGAUCCGUAGCUGGUCUGAGAGGAUGAUCAGCCACACUGGGACUGAGACACGGCCCAGACUCCUACGGGAGGCAGCAGUGGGGAAUAUUGCACAAUGGGCGAAAGCCUGAUGCAGCCAUACCGCGUGGGUGAAGAAGGCCUUAGGGUUGUAAAGCCCUUUCAGUUGGGAAGAAAAGGUCGGGGUUAAUAUCCCCGGUUCUUGACGGUACCUACAGAAGAAGCACCGGCUAACUCAGUGCCAGCAGCCGCGGUAAUACUGAGGGUGCAAGCGUUAAUCGGAAUUACUGGGCGUAAAGCGCGCGUAGGCGGUCUGGUCAGUCAGGUGUGAAAGCCCCGGGCUUAACCUGGGAACUGCAUUUGAAACUGCCAGACUAGAGUGUGGUAGAGGG
rnacentral:rRNA from 1 species